GAUGAAGAACGCAGCGAAAUGCGAUACGUAAUGUGAAUUGCAGAAUUCAGUGAAUCAUCGAGUCUUUGAACGCACAUUGCGCCCCCUGGUAUUCCGGGGGGCAUGCCUGUCCGAGCGUCAUUGCUGCCCUCAAGCACGGCUUGUGUGUUGGGCCUCCGUCCUCCUCCCGGGGGACGGGCCCGAAAGGCAGCGGCGGCACCGCGUCCGGUCCUCGAGCGUAUGGGGCUUCGUCACCCGCUCCGUAGGCCCGGCCGGCGCCCGCCGGCGACCCCCCUCAAUCUUUCCAGGUUGACCUCGGAUCAGGUAGGGAUACCCGCUGAACUUAAGCAUAUCAAUAAGCGGAGGA
rnacentral:misc_RNA from 1 species